rnacentral:rRNA from 1 species
UGGGGAAUCUUGCACAAUGGGGGCAACCCUGAUGCAGCGACGCCGCGUGAGCGAUGAAGCCCUUCGGGGCGUAAAGCUCUUUCGACCGGAACGAUAAUGACGGUACCGGGAGAAGAAGCUGCGGCUAACUACGUGCCAGCAGCCGCGGUAAUACGUAGGCAGCAAGCGUUGUUCGGAGUUACUGGGCGUAAAGAGUGCGUAGGCGGUUUUCUAAGUUCGGCGUGAAAUCUCCCGGCUUAACUGGGAGGGUGCGCCGAAGACUGGGAAGCUGGAGUGUGGGAAAGGCAGGCGGAAUUCCUGGUGUAGCGGUGAAAUGCGUAGAUGUCAGGAGGAACACCGGCGGUGUAGACGGCUUGCUAGACCAUAACUGACGCUGAGGCACGAAAGCGUGGGUAGCAAACA